GACGAACGCUGGCGGCGUGCUUAACACAUGCAAGUCGAACGGUAAGGCUCCAGCUUGCUGGGGUACACGAGUGGCGAACGGGUGAGUAACACGUGGGUGACCUGCCCUGCACUUCGGGAUAAGCCUGGGAAACUGGGUCUAAUACCGGAUAGGACCGCACCGUGAGGGUGUGGUGGAAAGUUUUUUCGGUGUGGGAUGGGCCCGCGGCCUAUCAGCUUGUUGGUGGGGUAAUGGCCUACCAAGGCGGCGACGGGUAGCCGGCCUGAGAGGGUGGACGGCCACAUUGGGACUGAGACACGGCCCAGACUCCUACGGGAGGCAGCAGUGGGGAAUAUUGCACAAUGGGCGGAAGCCUGAUGCAGCGACGCCGCGUGGGGGAUGACGGCCUUCGGGUUGUAAACUCCUUUCACCAUCGACGAAGGGUUUCUGACGGUAGAUGGAGAAGAAGCACCGGCUAACUACGUGCCAGCAGCCGCGGUAAUACGUAGGGUGCGAGCGUUGUCCGGAAUUACUGGGCGUAAAGAGCUCGUAGGUGGUUUGUCGCGUCGUCUGUGAAAUUCCGGGGCUUAACUCCGGGCGUGCAGGCGAUACGGGCAUAACUUGAGUACUGUAGGGGAGACUGGAAUUCCUGGUGUAGCGGUGAAAUGCGCAGAUAUCAGGAGGAACACCGGUGGCGAAGGCGGGUCUCUGGGCAGUAACUGACGCUGAGGAGCGAAAGCAUGGGGAGCGAACAGGAUUAGAUACCCUGGUAGUCCAUGCCGUAAACGGUGGGCGCUAGGUGUGGGUUUCCUUCCACGGGAUCCGUGCCGUAGCUAACGCAUUAAGCGCCCCGCCUGGGGAGUACGGCCGCAAGGCUAAAACUCAAAGGAAUUGACGGGGGCCCGCACAAGCGGCGGAGCAUGUGGAUUAAUUCGAUGCAACGCGAAGAACCUUACCUGGGCUUGACAUACACAGGAUCGCGCCAGAGAUGGUGUUUCCCUUGUGGCUUGUAUACAGGUGGUGCAUGGUUGUCGUCAGCUCGUGUCGUGAGAUGUUGGGUUAAGUCCCGCAACGAGCGCAACCCUUGUCUUAUGUUGCCAGCACGUUGUGGUGGGGACUCGUAAGAAACUGCCGGGGUUAACUCGGAGGAAGGUGGGGAUGACGUCAAAUCAUCAUGCCCCUUAUGUCCAGGGCUUCACACAUGCUACAAUGGUCGGUACAGUGGGUUGCCAGUCCGUGAGGGCGAGCUAAUCCCGCAAAGCCGGUCUCAGUUCGGAUCGGGGUCUGCAACUCGACCCCGUGAAGUCGGAGUCGCUAGUAAUCGCAGAUCAGCAACGCUGCGGUGAAUACGUUCCCGGGCCU
rnacentral:rRNA from 1 species